rnacentral:lncRNA from 1 species
CUGGGUGAUCCCUGCCUGCCGCACUCACAGUCUGCUGUUUACAGUCCCGAAUGCAUCCAGUGGAAUGGUCCUCCCCAUCUGCAGCAUCUGGUGCAAUGUAGGAGACCCUUCAGCUUCCUCUGGACUGUUUUUCUUUUCUGUUUGUGUCCAUCUUCCUUGAUCAAACUCCAGAAGGCAUAUCCCCAAUAGUUUUCUCCAUUGUGGAGGACCUCUUCCAUAUUUUAUGUGCUAGGAUUGUGAUAUUCUGUUAUGGCAGCCCUAGCAGAUGAAUAAUACAGGUAGAAUGGUCCUCAGGUGGUCUGAAGCAGGAGAUACGGCACUUAUGGUGCUCUCUGAUGAAGCCUGAGUCAAUGGAGGAGCCCGCAGCUGCCGGGUCACUUGGUUUCAGGUUUGUGAGAGUCAGCUGAGGGACAAGAGCUCCGGGAACUUUGAAGGCACCCUCUCGAGAAAGCGUUUUCUGUCUUAAAUAUUUUCCUGCACAGGUCUGAAAUUGUAUCAGUAGAAAUUCAUGUGGGGGUCUUGAUGCCUUCUUUAGUUUUCAGCAAUCUCAUGAUAGAAUGAGAAUGUACCUGGUCACCAGGACGCUGUUGAUAGGCUGAGAAUGUGGGGUGUGGUUUCUGGAAAAGGACUGCAGGGAAGCCGGCAGUGAAGGACAGAUGGGCCAGAUCUUUAGGUUCUCUCCCUUCCAGCUUUGCCCAGGACCAGCCUGGAUGAGCUUCUCAUGGGGCUUACAGAAAGAAGGGUGUUUUGGUUCUUCCUUGAAGGUGGUGAAUUCCUGAAACCUGAUGGUGGUUUAGAUUCUGGGUUACUGAGAAUAACUGUCUACCACAACGCUUACAGUCCCAGAAGAGGAGAGAUUCUUUCUUUCUCCCAGGAUUGGUCUGUUUCAAUCUCUGAAAAGGACUCUGACUGGUCUUGCUUGGAUCCUUUGCUGGCCCUGUAACCAAUUAAUGCUUAAGGUUCUGAGAUGGCAACUGCUGGUUUCAUUUGUCUGGAGAUUUCAUCUUUCAGAGCUGUCAAGGAUUUUAGUGGCUAUAAGGAGAGAACUCUGAUGAUAAAGUUUAUUGAUUCAUGACUGCAUUCAUAUAAAACACUAAAUGGAAUUUUGAAUGGCAAGAAACAUGUUUUGUACAUUCAAUAAAUGAGAAUCUGUGUAUCAUGAAAAUGGUAACACUUAGUAUGAUAAUUUUCAGUUUAUAAAGUGUUUUAUUUAAUUCUGACAAUAAUCCUGUAAGGUAGCUGAGUUGUUGAGUUAUAGUAGCACUCAAUGUAUACCCUUCAACCCCUGCCACAAACACACAAAUGCAUGUUCAGUUUUCUUUCAUAUACAAAAUAUCCCAUCUCCCCAAACCGUUACCCCAUCUCAUACUUUGUUCACUUCUAAAAUUCCUGGAAAGGUGAAAUGUUCCCAUAACUGUCUUCAACUCAUCACUACCACUCCAUGAGAUCUGGUCUAAUCUUUGCCAUUAUAGAAAAUCUCACUUAGUUACUAAUAACUUCCUUGUUGCUAAAUGUAGUGAAGUUUCCUCUAUAUGUAUCAUUCGAAG